CGGACGGGUGGUAGUAACACGUGGAUAACCUACCUAUAAGACUGGGAUAACUUCGGGAAACCGGAGCUAAUACCGGAUAAUAUAUUGAACCGCAUGGUUCAAUAGUGAAAGACGGUUUUGCUGUCACUUAUAGAUGGAUCCGCGCCGCAUUAGCUAGUUGGUAAGGUAACGGCUUACCAAGGCAACGAUGCGUAGCCGACCUGAGAGGGUGAUCGGCCACACUGGAACUGAGACACGGUCCAGACUCCUACGGGAGGCAGCAGCC
rnacentral:rRNA from 1 species